GCUAACUACGUGCCAGCAGCCGCGGUAAUACGUAGGGUGCGAGCGUUAAUCGGAAUUACUGGGCGUAAAGGGUGCGCAGGCGGUCUUGCAAGUCAGAUGUGAAAGCCCCGGGCUUAACCUGGGAAUUGCGUUUGAAACUACAAGGCUAGAGUGCAGCAGAGGGGAGUGGAAUUCCAUGUGUAGCAGUGAAAUGCGUAGAGAUGUGGAAGAACACCGAUGGCGAAGGCAGCUCCCUGGGUUGACACUGACGCUCAUGCACGAAAGCGUGGGGAGCAAACAGGAUUAGAUACCCCAGUAGUC
rnacentral:rRNA from 1 species